CCCACGGGUGGCAGCAGUGGGGAAUAUUGGACAAUGGGCGAAAGCCUGAUCCAGCCAUGCCGCGUGUGUGAAGAAGGUCUUCGGAUUGUAAAGCACUUUAAGUUGGGAGGAAGGGCAGUAAGCUAAUACCUUGCUGUUUUGACGUUACCGACAGAAUAAGCACCGGCUAACUCUGUGCCAGCAGCCGCGGUAAUACAGAGGGUGCAAGCGUUAAUCGGAAUUACUGGGCGUAAAGCGCGCGUAGGUGGUUUGUUAAGUUGGAUGUGAAAGCCCCGGGCUCAACCGGGGAACUGCAUCCAAAACUGGCAAGCUAGAGUAUGGUAGAGGGUGGUGGAAUUUCCUGUGUAGCGGUGAAAUGCGUAGAUAUAGGAAGGAACACCAGUGGCGAAGGCGACCACCUGGACUGAUACUGACACUGAGGUGCGAAAGCGUGGGGAGCAAACA
rnacentral:rRNA from 1 species